UGACCGCUGGCGGCAGGCUUAACACAUGCAAGUCGAGCGGGGGAAGGUAGCUUGCUACCGGACCUAGCGGCGGACGGGUGAGUAAUGCUUAGGAAUCUGCCUAUUAGUGGGGGACAACAUCUCGAAAGGGAUGCUAAUACCGCAUACGUCCUACGGGAGAAAGCAGGGGAUCUUCGGACCUUGCGCUAAUAGAUGAGCCUAAGUCGGAUUAGCUAGUUGGUGGGGUAAAGGCCUACCAAGGCGACGAUCUGUAGCGGGUCUGAGAGGAUGAUCCGCCACACUGGGACUGAGACACGGCCCAGACUCCUACGGGAGGCAGCAGUGGGGAAUAUUGGACAAUGGGGGGAACCCUGAUCCAGCCAUGCCGCGUGUGUGAAGAAGGCCUUAUGGUUGUAAAGCACUUUAAGCGAGGAGGAGGCUACUUUAGUUAAUACCUAGAGAUAGUGGACGUUACUCGCAGAAUAAGCACCGGCUAACUCUGUG
rnacentral:rRNA from 1 species